CAGGGAUGGUGUGAAGGACCAGGAGGAACAGCAGAGAUCUGAGCCUGUAGACCUGAUAGAUCCCAAAGAGGGAGGAAUUAUGCUCAUAAUGAAGAGUUGGGACUGCAGUGCAAUCAGAGAUCCGCCCAUGCUUUGCUCCCUUCUAAUGCAAUUACUCUAGCUGCAAGAUUUUUGUUCAAGAUACUGGAAAUCCUCCAGCUUAUUUGCAGAAAGCAAUGCAGCAGCAACUGUCAUACAGAUGUUCCCAUUGGAGAGAAAUUGCAGUAUGAGCUGAGCCCUGUCAGGAGCUGGUCUUUACAUCACCUGGCGCAAAAGUGUGUGAAACUGAGAACUUUAAUUAACUGCCAGAAAGCACUCAAAAUGCUUGCCAGCAAUCAGCUGUGGGUCUUACAACCUUCCUCUAGGUGCGUCACCUUCCUGGGGUGGCAGUGACUAGCAAAGGGGUCAUGCUCUGCCCACACUCCCCAGCUCCAGGCAGGGAUGCAGCAGUGCUCCCCUACCUGGUAGGAUGUCAGAUCAGUGGGAUCACCUCUGUGGGGAAGACCUUGUAAUAGACAAAAGUCGUAGUGUCCUAAUGGCUUCACCAAAGCAGGUUCUUGGCAGUGCAAAGAGAUGGCAAAAUGCACCAGACCCAGAACUCCAGCAUCAGCACAGGACAGGUGGCCUGCUCCUCCUCUGGGUUUUGGUGGACAUGCAUCUCAUAGGAAAGGAUGUCUCUGCAGUGCCUGCAAACACAAGAAUUCAGCAUGCUUUUUCUCUCCACAAACCCUUUCAGUUUCUCCCUAUCAGCACUCCCAUGCUGUGUUUAGGGGAGCAUUUCUAGGUGGGUGUACGCGAGGGCAGAGUUGGACCUGUGAUACUUAAGUCAGCCUCAAAUGGGAAUCUGGAGGAGGAGGAGCACGGAUGGAGAUAACACUUCAGCUUGGCUUUGGAAAAUUAGCUUUUUCAUAGAAGACAUAUUAUUUUUUCCAUUUUUCCUAACUGAAUUUGCUGUUGCACAAAGUUGAGUUUGGAAGCAGGCGCAUUUUACUCAAAGGAGGUGAUUCACUGGCCUAAGAUGUCUCCAGGAAACGAUAGGGUGCUGCUUAUAGCAUAGAAUAAAAGAGCAACCUUUCUGCCUGAGGGCACCUCUAGAAAACCAGAUGAAAACUGAAAUCAGUCAGAAAGUCUUGGCUUUGAGGUUUCCUUCCAUCUUCUGCGCUGUAGUUCCUGGGAAAAAGGCUGACCUCUGAGAACGGAGUCACUUGCAGCCACAGAGAGGUUUGAAGGCUCUGUUCAGUUAGCUGAAAUGCUUCCUCCACACUCUGCUGGAGAGGUGCCUAACAGGCCUUGCCUAAGCAGAUGAAUUAAAAGGACUGAAAGCAGUCAUUGAUGGGGCUCCUUGAUGUAGGUAGAGGAGGAGGGAGCUGCUCUGGCAUUAGGCUGAUGUUUGAGAAAAGCUGAAAGAACCCGUCCAAUUGCUAAGCAAAGCUUCUGGGAAGACUUCAAAAAGAAAAGAAAAAUCAAUUGAAAUCAUCCACUCAUCAGAGAAAAAAAAAUCUUAUUUGCAGAUCUCUGUGCAGCAUGGGGAGCUUUUAUAACAAACACAUGAAGUAUCCUUACAACUGACGCUUUCUUACUAGGGCUCAAAACUAAAAAUACUUUGCAACCUACAACAAGUCUUACUGACAGAGGAGACAGUGUUUAAAGCUCAGUAUUUCUGUUUUGGAGCCUUGCAUUAUAGAGGAUGAUGUGACUGUUUUUCAUAUGGAAAUACCAUUUUAAUUAAGACAAACAGAUGGUUAACAGGAGCGGUAUUGUAGGCUUCAUGAAAGUAAAAUCUAAAGGGCACAAUAAUAUUUCCACUUCACAGCGGCUUGUUUUGGUUCCUACCAAUAAAUAAAUUCCACGUGUCAGAGAAAAACAUUUUCACUGUAUAGUUCAUGUGUUGCUGCUUGUGUGUUAGGUGCAGAUCACAAAACAGGGGCACACUUAUCCCCAAAGCAGGUACAAACCUAUGCAUGGUGCAAAUCAUGCAAUACUUGAAAUCUAUCGAUAACUGCAUAAAAGGGCAAAAAAAUUCCAUUUUCCAUAACCAGAAAAAUCUCUCUGUGAGUUGUAAUUUUACCACGUCUUAUACUUGCUCUGUACCUGCUCUUUGUGCUUGCCUGCUUGCAGAAAACUCAUAGAAAGAGGAAAGUGACUGCAGGAUGUGUUUGUAGAUGGUGCUUAGUCACUUUUCCCCUACAGCACAGCUUGCAUUCAAGAAAACAAGAAAGCUCUGUAUCUAAAUCAAGUUGAAAUGAAACUUCUGGAACUUAAGGCAAAGCAUUAUUUUGAUAAGGAAACUUGCCUAUCAGAAGGCAGAGGCUGUACUGGCCCUGCAGAUCACCUCCAGAAGGUGAGAGCAGUGCUGCAGAGAUAAGUGCCCUAUUUCUGGGCAUGGCUCGACAGCCUGUCUGCCUGCAACCCUGAAAGAGGAUUCUGGGGGGCGAAGGUUACAGCAGAUAAAGCAGGGUAUUAGGAGCUGUCACACUCUCCAGUCUUUCUGCCGCUGCUCUCUUCGUUCUCACAUGUGGGUCAAGCACAAACCCCAGCUCAGAAGUUGCUCUGCUCCAGCAAGAGUACUCUGCACAUUUGUUACAUCCCUGGGGUGGAAAUACUUGUCCAAAAGAUGGUGCUCAAAGGACCUUGCAGAUUGCCAGGAGAGCUGGGAAUGUGAGCCUGGGCUGUGGCUUUUCAGGGAAAUACUCUGAGAAAUAUAACAGUGGAGGCAAGCACCACUAGAGACGUCCCAUUUAUGAUUAGCGCAUUGCUAACGACAGGAAGACUUUCCCUGAGUGAGAUCUAAUGUCAUUAAACUUAAACCUGGCAAACAUCAGUUAGUGGAAACAAAAUUAGCCUUGUCUGGGAAUACCAGCUCCUGCCUCAAAGUGCUAAUUUCCCCAAACAUACAGGCAACGGCCUCAGAA